rnacentral:rRNA from 1 species
CAGCCGCCGCGGUAAUACGUAUGUCACGAGCGUUAUCCGGAUUUAUUGGGCGUAAAGCGCGUCAAGGUGGUUAUAUAAGUCUGAUGUGAAAAUGCAGGGCUCAACUCUGUAUUGCGUUGGAAACUGUAUAACUAGAGUACUGGAGAGGUAAGCGGAACUACAAGUGUAGAGGUGAAAUUCGUAGAUAUUUGUAGGAAUGCCGAUGGGGAAGCCAGCUUACUGGACAGAUACUGACGCUGAAGCGCGAAAGCGUGGGUAGCAAACAGGUUUAGAUACCCCCGUAGUCCCUGUCUCUUAUACA